GGGUCUGUGUCCCCUCGAGACUUAAGGCCCCCGGUUUCUAUAGGCCGUGUCUAGUUCUCUUUGUUCUCGUUAGCACGGACACACGACCCGUAGCCGGGGCUGCAGACACACGCUGGAGCCAGAUGUGCUGCUACGGCGUUUCUGCGAUUUAAAGUUCAUCUUCCGGCUGAUGGUUUCUGUGAGAGACUGUUUGUGGGAAUGAGGAAUGCAUGCAUCAGGAAAAGAGAAAGUGUGAAAGCCAUCCCAAAUGUCCAGAUGGUCAAGAAAAAGUGAGAGACUUGGAAACAGCAGGAGACAAUCAGAAAAUAUCCAUUGUCUCCACGCUAAACAUGUCAGCAGCAUUGAGGACCUCAGAGGUGAGGCAGGCACCCCCAAGGCGAGACAACAAAUACAUGAUAACAGCAGAAAACCCCAAGAUUAACACCACUUAAGGACUAAUGAUUACAGGAGGACAUUGCAAAAUGCAUGGACUCAAAUGGGACUUUACAACUAUAAAGAUGGGGUGUUUUGCCGUGGAACUCUGGGUUCAGUCCUGCAAAGCCUCGGAGCAUCGGGUCGCGUCCGACAGAGCCCUGCUCCUCACUCGUGCUCAAUCUAACUGGCCAGUACAUUGACUUGAGCUACAAACAGACUGGUAACUAUAAAGACCAUCUGCAGGACUUGUGUGUGUGUGUGUGUAUUUUGUGUGACUGAAAGAAUAUGCUAAGUGUUGUAUUUACAAUAAACGUGGCAUUUUCCCUUA